rnacentral:rRNA from 1 species
CUCUCAACUCGUUCGUCUCUCUCUUCUGCCUGCACAUUCUCUCUCUCGCCCGAUGCACUGGCACUGGCGGCCAUCCAUCACUCGCCUCACCAUAGCCGCCGCUGCCUGUGCCCGCAUCCACGCGCCACCGCCUCCGGGCGCCGCCGAGCGCCGCCUGCCUCCACCCGCCACCGCCGGCCUCCGAGCGCCGCCCGCCUCCGUCCCUGCGCGUCGUCUGCCUGCCUCUGCCCGCGCAACCGGCGGCCGCUGUCUGUGCCCGCGUCCGCACACGUCGCACCACCAAUCGCGCCAUUGAGACCGUGCAGGCGCCUCCCUCUCUCUUCCGACGACCUCAACGUCGACCACAGAGGCGACCUCGACGAUGACGCCGCGGACGGCCUCACCGACGACCACGGGGCCAACCUCUACGAUGACGCCGCGCGGACCUCGCCGACAACCACCGGGGCAGGGCCACAGCGGCGGGCGUGGGUGCGCUCGGUGGCGAAGUAGGGCGGGCGCGGCCGGAGCAGGGUGGUGCGGCCGGAACGCUAGCAGGGCGGCGGGCGCGGUCUGGCACGGUGGCAGGCGCAGGGUGGCGGGCGCUCGCGGCUUGGAAAGGACGGGCAAGGUCCGGCAGGGCGGCGGCCUCGGGCAGGAGCAAUUUUUUUUAAAAUGAAAAUAUAGAUUUGCCAUCUCUAACUUGGCUAGGCUGACGGCAAAAACGCAAAUUCGGCCGACGGCAACAAUGUUAACUAUGCCGUCUGCGUCAUAAAAACCAGACGACAAAGUGUCAGUUUAGCUGACGGCAAAGAUUUUGCUGUCUAUCCAAUAAAAUGCUGACGGCAAAGUUUCUUUGCCGACUUAUCUUUGCCGUCUGAGUUUGCCGUCUGCUUUCUGACGGCAAAAUCUUUACCGUCUGGAUUUAUGUCUUUGCCGUCUGUAAUCCACAGACGACGAAUUACCUGAAUCCUGUAGUGGUCGUCCCGGAGCCCGGCAGCCGGCGGGACCAACCAGUCGACGGGCC